UAACGGGAAUGCGGAAAUGUAACUUUAUGGACCUAUAAAGGGAGGUGAAUCGUCCCCCCUAAAACGGGCACUAUUCAUUAAUAGGAUAGCUACUGUUACGCUUGCUCGAGUUGUCAUUGUCUUCGUUCAUUAUUUUACCUUGCCUACUGUUUGGAUGAGCCCCAACAUUUGGCGCCCACCGUGGUCUAACUCGACAAACAACCUACGAUGCCACCACAACGGAAAAAGAGACUUAGGCCCUGUUUGGGAGGAAGGUGCUAAAAUUUAGUCCUGGACUAAAUUUUAGCCCUCUCCAAAAGAGUGCUAAACUUUAGCCUUUGGGGGUGUUUGGGAGGGAGGCUAAAGUUUAGCAACUGCUAUGACAAAGGACCCUUUUACCCCUGCAUAGCUGCCCCUCCGGAUCACCACCCGCUCCUCCUCAGCCCCUCCGUCGCCAGGCACCAGAUUGGUGCCGCCAACGACGCGCCCCCUCCUCCGCUGGCUAGCCCGCCCCUGCUGUCGAGCGGCUGCAGUAUCGGCAUGGUGGCAUCAGUGUCGCGCCCGCCGACGUGGUGGCCAUGGAGGGCGCGGCCGCCACCGACGGGCGAUGCCGCCGGGCAGCGCGCCCGCGUGGUCCUGCUCGGCAGGCGGCGAUAGCGACAGCUCCGUCGACGCCGUGGACCCGUUCAGCCUCCGCCACGGGUCUCCCCCCGUGCCUCCUACUCUUACUCCGCCUGCUCCCCCUACCGCGGUGGCCGGCGAGGCGAGGCCGCGGGGGCGGGCGGGGCGGGCGAGGCGAGGUCGCGGGGGCGGGCGGCAGUGGGGCCGGCCGGAGACGAAGGCGGCGGCGGCGAGGCGGAGGUAGGCGGGGCCGGCGUAGACCGCGGGGGCGGGCGGGCGGGCGGCGGGGCCGGUCGGAGAUGGAGGUGGCAGCGGCGGCCGGACGGAGGAGGAUGGCGGCGAGGCGGAGGCGGCCGGGCGAGUCGGAGGCGGCGGUUCGGGCGAAGGAGGCGGGGGAGAGAGAGAGAGUGAGGGGAGGAGAGAGAGGGGAGGGGGCAGGGGGGAAAGUGGUAUAGGGGGACCACUUUUUAGUCCAUUUAGUUCAUUUUAGCUACCCCCAAGUGACUAAAUGAUUAGAGGGGGGCUAAAGUUUAGCCCACAAGAUUUAGCUGGGGUGUUUGGGAACCUUGAGGGCUAAAAUGGACAAAAGUGGGGGUGCUAAAGUUUAGCACCCCUCUCCCAAACACCCCCUUACAGUAUAGAGAGAAGUCAGCACAGUGGAAGCUGGUCAGCUUACAGCUCCCGAGGCCACAGAUCAGGUUCUUUCGGAUAAGGAGGAACGCCUUGCAAGAGUAGAGCAAACCUUAAGGGCAAAAGCAAUGAGUAAGAGACCCGUACCCGAGGUCAACCACCAAAGCCAACAACCCACAGCAAAUGAAGGUACCAACCGCACUGACGGUCAACAGAGCCACCAGCCCACAACGCCCGAAGCUACUGGCCCCUCUGACCUGGACAAUGAGCUAGACUCAGUCCUCCGAGAGAUAGAAGAGCUCAAAAGAAAAAAGGAGCAGUUAGCACAGCAGGUGCAACAACAGAGGGAAGCCUCGAGCAGACUAUCAAAAUUGAACGAAGCUAGGCGGCAGCUGGAAGCACUACAGAAAGAAAUUGCAGAGCUUGAAAGCCCACAUGAGAAUGCAAACCAAACUGCAGCUUAUUUUCAUCAAAGUCCUACCAUUGAUCAGGCACAGUUCCAACCCAGCCUCAACUUCGUCCAAGGCACCCAACAUCACUCACCAGGGGUGUCUUUCGUGGUCGACGCCACAUCACUGCUCUCAAUCGGGCUCCAAACCGCACCAAGGCCAGCAACAUACAAGCCAACCACCCUGCCCAAAUUCAACGGACGAACAGAUCCAUGACAAUUCUUAAUGAGUUACUAAGCCGUCGUAGCUUCAGCUGGGGGAGAUGAUGUUGUCCUCGCCAAGUCCUUCAUAACUGCUUGCGAAGGCAUGGCACUGAACUGGUACUCACUACUCCCUCCACACACAGUGAAUAGCUGGCAUGACCUCAAGGUGAAGGUCACACAAAACUUUCAGGUUUCCAUUACCCCCAAAUGGCCCAAGCAGAUCUUUUCCAAUGCAAACAAAAAGACAAGGAGCCACUCGCAGAAUAUGUAAGAAGAUAUGUCUAGCUUCGUUCUCAAGCGCCGCACAUUGAGGAAUCCAUAGCAAUAUCCGCGUGCAUCGCGGGUCUCACCCCUAGCCCAACAGCCUCGAAGCUAUCAAGGAAAGAGCCCAAAAUGAUGAGUGCUCUCUUCAGCAAACUCGAUGAAUACAUCAGGUCCGAUGAGGACCACCGCAGAAGAGUGGUGGAACGUAACAAGGAAAGACAAACAAACUAGAACCGAAGCUGGCAACCUUCACCUUACAACAAGCCUCAAAACCAAAACCAAAACUAAAAUCGUGUCAUGAACAUUGAGGGAAACCAAAACCAAAGCCAGUGCCAAAACCAAAACAACAAUACCCAAAGAGGGGGCCACUCUGGUAGGGGACGAGGUCGAGGAAGACAGCAAAAAUCAUUCUACUGCGUCAACCAUGGCCAUCAGAACCAUCAUAAUUGAAGCGUCCCCACAUAAGUAGAGACUAAAUGUGAUACAAAUAUCAGUCCCAGGAGGCUGAUAGCACAUUUAUUCGACAGAUAAUUCAGUUACCGUACAACUCCCGAGGGAGUGGGCGUGAAAGCCACGCAGCGAUAAGCAGUAAAUAAAUAACGGCGGCUAACCAAGCGACUGCCAAAAGACAGCACUCGGAACUACACGGCAGCAGCAGCAUCUUGGGUAGGCCAACACCACAGGCAGCGUCGGGUGCGGACACAACCUCUACUCAAGGUCCUCGGCGACGAAGUCCGGGUCUUCCUCUGUAGCAACGAAGCAAGGGUGAGUACAAACGUACUCAACAAGUCCAACCCCAUCCACGGAGGGGGGAAAAUACAAGUAUAUGCACAGGUCACCACAAGGAUAGGCUAGAGUUUAUUUGCGGUAAAGCUAGAUUUUAACACAUGCAGGGGAUCGUUUUCGAAAGGGUUUUUUGUAAAGUUUUCCUUUAGCACCCGAAACAUUUAGUGGGGUUGAUCCUACACAAAGGAUCCAAGUUUUUAUCGCUAUCGGACUCCCCGUCCGCCAUAGCACACGGCACAACUGCCGGACUCCUCCAAAAUCCAACACACACGCACACACACAUGACAUUCUUGCCCAAUUGCUAGUUAUGUGACCAAGCCGUAACUCGUCCAAUGCCGUGGACACGGCUACCUGGAUAGGUUUUAACUCUGCAGAGGGUGUACACUUUUCUCACAAGUAGGGUACCGCAUCACGAUCACCUUAGUGACGGUACGGAUCCUAACAAAGCCAUUACCCACCUUAGCUAAGACUGGCUAGCCCUCGUGGAAACACCCAAGGGGUUCACGGCUCGUCCAUGAGACCGUAACCGGGACCUAAGUCACCAAGAUCUUACUCCUUUCCCAUGGGUUCCCGUUGCUCACCAGCACCCCUGAGGACUAACAGUUCAGCUAGUGGGAUUUAUGCUAAGCCGUUGCCCAUACAACGGUCGAGUGGUUGCACGAUGGUGGAAUUAGGCAAGAUGACACAUCAACUCGGUCCUUAAAUAUGACAAGAUGGAUAUCUCCCGACAUUGCUCAACCACCAAGGUACGAGCAUAACAACAUGGCAUCCCACACAAGGAAUACCCAUCCAUCCUGUCUACACAUCCUUUUCCCUUGAACCCGAAAAGCCAUUUUUCUCACUUGCACACACACACGUUCAUUUUCCGAAAACACCAUGGUAAUAAUGAUUGCAGUUGAGUAACAAAUUCCUAAGCGUUCUAGCAGUGGUUAUCAUCUAAACAGAGCAAGUCGUAUUAGAGAUAAACAUAGGGUAGCAAGGAAUGUUCGUAACAAUCAAGGGGUGGCUAUCCAACCAUGUCUUGCGAUGAAAUAAUAUGCAUUUUGUAAAACAGGCCAAUAGGUUGUGUUUGAAAAACUAGGUAUUAAGUAUGCAUCAAAGGGUGAGAUUGGACUUGCCGUCUUCAAAGCCUUCUGGGAGUUCCGGCUCGCGGUACUGGUCCUCGGGCUCGGGCUCACGGUCAAACUCCUCCUCGGGCUCCUCCUCGGGCAAUCCGCGAUCUACGGCACACACAAACAGACACACCAAUAAAUAAAAGAGGAAACGGUUUUUAACCGUGAGCUCCGAACAGGAAACGCGAACGGAAAAUAGGUAGAAAGAUUUAUUUUGGGAAAUUUGGAUAUAGAUCGGCGGAGGUAUUCUGGAGGAUGACGUGGUAAAAUUUGGGGUUAAUUGGAGGAAGUUUGGCGCAUGAAAUGACGGGUUAAACAUGGAUUAGGGGCUUAACAGGAGGUUUAGGACUGAUUUGUAAUAAACCAGGGACCUGUUUGCAAUUACUUUUGGGGGUGGAGGGGCUUAUCCGCGAAUAGCUUUAUGAGAGUGGUGGGAGGACCUGUUCGUAAUUUGGGAGAAAGUGAGGGUCAGAUCGAAAUUUUAGGAAAUUUUCCUUUUCUUCUUCCAGGAAGAGAGAGAGGAAGUGAGGAAUGGGGGGUGCGGCGGCGGCCGGCCGGCCGGGCUGCGCCGGCGGCGGCCGGCCGGCCGGGCUGCGCCGGCGGCGGCCGAGGGCCGGGGCGGUGGAGAAAAAGGAGGGGGGCUCCACUUUGCCCCUCACCUUGGGGAAGGAUGGAGAGGAGCGGCCGGUGGCGGUCGGGUGGCGGCGGCCUUCGGGCGGAGGGGAUUGGCGGCGGCGGCUUGCGGCGGCGGUGGCGGCGGCAGUCGGAGGUAGGGGCGCGGUGGGUGGUGGUGUUGGUGAGUGGGGAGAGGAGCCGGCGAGGGUCCUUUUAUAGGUGGCGGGGAGAGCUCCGGUGGUGGGGGUCCGGGCGGCCGGCAUGCGGCGGCAGCGUCGGGCGGGGCCGGAGCACGGGGUAGUGGCCGGGCAGGCCGAGCCGGUGGCGUGGUAGCUGGGAGGUGGCGUUGCGGCGGCGGCACGGCAAGGGACGGGGCCGGGUCCGGCGGCGUGCGGGGCGGAGUGGCCGGCGGGGCCGGGACGGGGCGGCCCAGGCGGCCGGGGCCGGUCGGCGGCGCGCGGCCCGAGGGGAGGCGCCGGGCGGGAUGGCGCCAGUGGAGGUGGGGUGCGGUGGAGUUAAGGCGUUGGGGCCUGGCGUGCGGCACCAGAAGGAGGAAGGAGAAGGAGAGAGAGAAGAAGGAAGGAGGAAGAAGAAAGAAGAAGGAGGAAGAAGAAAGAAGGAAAGAGAAAGAAAAAGAAAAGGGGAGGGAAAAAGUGAAAGAAAAAGAGAGGGACCGGCGGCGAUUGCGGCACGCGGUCGGAGCACGCGCGCGACGUCUGACAACGGCACGCGGCGAGAUUUAUGGGCACAGAUAGAAAGGUAGGGGUCGGCAUGGGUACCGGGACGGCGAAAUCGCCGGGGAGAUUUCCGAUUUCCGGGAGCUCAGCGGUAAAAAGAUUUUAAAGACGGUUUUUAACAGGUGAUUUUAGUUGGUGAUUUCUGUGGAUGUUACAAUAAUACAGAGUGGUGCCCCAAAAAGAAAAAAGAAGAGAGGAAAGCUACAAAUGAAGCCGCGAAGGCAGCCGCACAAGCACCCAAAAUAAUCCACCACACAGCUUUUUACCCGCACCCAAGCUUUUACCCCAACCAGCCCAGCUUCACCAACUACCAACAACCAAUGACCUGGCCUCUUCCACCCCACAUACAACCAUACCACCAAACAAUCCCGCAACAUGCCAACCUAAAUCCACCUCAGAAGCCUCAAGAAACACUACCUCCUCCCCCAAGCAUGUCAGCCAUAAUGCCCAAACCAGAGCCCAGCACACAAAACAACAACAAAAACUCCUUACCUACCUUCAGCAUAAUAAUCCCAAUCACUGGAGGCUCCUCUUUGGAGUUCGAGAACAAGAGGCAGAGGUGAAACUAUUUCAGAGAAGUCAACAUGAUCAUACCCGACGGACCCCCAACAAAGCCAGAAUGGGCACACAUGCCCAUAAGCUUCACGGGGGAAGACUUCAAGCUCAAGACAACCUCGCACAACAAUGCGAUGGUCAUCAAAGCGCUGAUAGCAGGCUGGACGGUCGGAAAAGUCCUAGUUGACACGGGCAGCUCCGCGGACAUCCUCUUCGCAAACGCAUUUAGAGAAAUGAACAUUGACAUGAACACGCUCGACCUAGCCGACAUCCCACUCCUCGGCUUCGGUGGAAAGCCGGUGAAGGCCUUGGGAAAAAUUGCUCUCCCGGUCUCGUUUGGGGACCACGACAAUGCGAGAACAGAGAACAUCACCUUCGACGUGGUGGAAAUGCACUAUCCCUAUAAUGCAAUACUUGGCCGUGGCUUCAUCACCAAAAGGGAUGCAACAAUUAGGCAACUAUACCUAUGCAUGAAAAUACCCGCGCUCAAGGGGGUCAUAACAGUGUACAGCGAUCAACAAAUGGCAAGGAAUAUAGAAAGAGGGGUAGCUCCGGGCCAAAAGAAUGUCCACCACCUAGCCUCAUCAAACGAAGCCGAAAGCUCAGGAAAGCAAAAGGCCCACGACGAGCUCAAGAGAGACAAAGAAAAAAUAAAGAUUAGUGCUGACGGCAAAACAAAAAGGGUACUCCUAGACGGGUACAUCGCAGACAGGUUCGUAACAAUUGGAGCCAACCUCGACCCCGAAGAAGAACGCAACCUCAUUGAGUGCCUCAACAAGAACAAAGACAUCUUCGCUUGGUCCGCAGGUGAUCUCAAAGGCAUGGACAAGGAAAUCAUCGAGCACAGCCUCGACAUCAGGCAAGGAGCUAGGCCAAAGAAGCAAAAGCUAAGAAAAAUGUCCGACGAAAAGGUCCAAGCUGUAAAGGCCGAAGUUGACAGGCUCCUCGAAGCCAAUGUAAUCAGGCCAAUCCAAUAACCUAACUGGUUAGCUAACACAGUGCCAGUAAAAAAGAAAAAUGGCAAAUGGAGAAUGUGUAUAGACUUCACAGACCUCAACAAGGCCUGCCCAAAAGACGAUUGCCCUCUCGAGAGGAUUGACAAGGUAGUGGAUGACGCUGCAAACAGUGAAAUGCUCUCGCUACUUGACCUUUUCUCGGGAUACCACCAAAUCAGAAUCAAGAAGGAGGACGAAGGCAAAACAAGCUUCGUGACACCUUUUGGAACGUUCUGCUUCAUGCGUAUGCCAGAGGGGCUAAAAAAUGCAAGACAAACAUUCUCAAAGAUGACGGCAACAGUCCUGGACAACCAGCUUUGGCGCAAUAUCCUGGCUUAUGUGGACGCUAUCAUCGUCAAAAGUGCCAAACGAAGUGACCAUAUUCUGGAUCUCACAGAAACAUUCGCUAACCUGAGGUUAGCCAACCUAAAGCUAAACCCAGAAAAGUGUGUAUUCGGGGUUCAAAGAGGAAAGGUCCUAGGCUGUCUGGUAACAACAAAAGGCAUUGAGGCCAACCCAGAUAAAAUCAAGGCGUUAGCGAAUAUGUCAGAGCCAACUUUGCUCAAAUAAGUCCAACGACUCACAGGUAGGGUUGCUGCGCUAAACCGUUUAUUCCAAGAGCGGCAGAGCGAAGCCUCCCCUUCUUCAAAGUACUUCGAAGCUCCAAAACACUUGAAUGGGGACAUGAGCAAAGCAAAACAUUCCAAGACCUCAAAGAGUACCUGCAAUCUAUGACGAAGCUAUGCCCGCUAGAGCCCAAAUCACCAUUGCUAUUGUACGUCUCAGCCUCAGCAACAGCCGUAAGCGCUGUGUUGAUUCAAGAAAAUGAAAUCGAAGGCAAAACUAGACAAAUACCAGUUUACUUCGCAUCCGAAGCCCUGAGCGGCUCAAAGCUACACUACUCUGAACUCGAGAAAAUCGCAUACACAGUCGUUAUGGCAGCGCGGAAACUGCGACACUACUUCGAGGGGCACAAAAUAGUCGUUGUAACUAGCCAACCCCUUCAUGACCUUUUCUCAAACAGGGAACCUUCUAGCCAUAUCGCCAAAUGGGCAUCUGAGCUCUCAGAGUUCGUUGUCGACUUUGAAAGGCGCACAGCUAUAAAAUCCCAAGUACUGGCUGAUUUCGUGGUCGAUUGGACCUCGCCAAAGCAGGAGCCAAAACAACUUGAAACACCAUGGGUCGUCCACUGCGAUGGGGCUUGGUGCCGCAAAGGGGCAGGCGUCGCAGCAGUGGUCACAUCACCAACAAGUGUCAGAAUCAAGUAUGCAGUGAGGCUAGACUUCCCACCGACCGCGAAGUCAACCAACAACACCACAGAGUACGAGGGAUUGCUGCUGGCCUUAAGGAAAAUGAAAGCCAUAGGGCAACAAACAUUCAUCGUCAGAAUGGACUCGAAGGUAAUCCGUGAUCACAUCGAGAAAGACAUCGAAGCCAAGGAGCCAGAGCUCGUUAAAUACCUUGAGACAGUCCGAGCCAUGGAGAAGCACUUUCGGGGGUUUGAUGUCAAAAAUAUACCGAGAGCACAAAAUGACGACGCGGACAAGCUUGCAAAAGCAGCAGCAGAGGGCGAGCCAAUCCCACCUGACACAUUCCACGAAGUCAUAGCCUCACCUUCGAUCAAAGAAGAAGAUCCAGCCCCCGUCAACACCAUCUAGUGUUACGACUGGCGCGCGAGCGUAAUGGCUUUCCUUAGAGGUCACUUUGAACCCCAGAACGAGGCCGAACGUACAUGCCUAAAGCAAAGGGCAAGGGGCUACACAAUUAUCGAGGGACGGCUCUACAAAAUAGGCAUUUCAACACCAUGGCUUCGCUGUGUCGAUUAUGAAAUAGGCAGCGAGCUGCUCAAAGAAAUACACGACGGUUUUUGCGGAACCCACAUUGGCUCAAGGGCUCUAGCAGGAAAAGGAAUCCGACAGGGAUUCUACUGGCCAUCAGUCCACAUGGACGCACACUUGCUCAUACAAAGCUGUGAGGCCUACCAGAAGAUAGCAAGGCAGACGCAUGCACCCUCACUCCCUAUCCAGCUUAUCCCACCCUCGUGGCCUCUCCAGAGAUGGGGCAUGGACCUAGUUGGUCCACUGCCAACAGCACAAGGAAAUUGCAGAUUCGCAGUAGUUGCAAUAGACUACUUCACCAAAUGCACCGAAGCCAAACCACUGGCCGUCAUCACAUCGGCCUCGGUACAAAAUUUUUUCUGGCAAAACAUUGUCUGCCGGUUUGGAGUCCCAAGGGAACUAACCGUUGACAAUGGCAAACAGUUUGACUGCAUCUCAUUCACAUAUUUCUACGCCAGCAUCAGCACGAAGAUAAAAUUCUCGUCCGAAUACCACCCACAAUCAAACGGAGUUGUGGAAAGGGUGAACAGUACCAUAUUCACUGCAGUCAAAAAAUGUCUGUUAGAUCAAAAAAAGGGCAAAUGGGUCGACGACCUCCCAAGAGUCAUAUGGUCCCACAACACAACAGAAUCCAGGGCAACAGGCUUUACCCCGUUCAAGCUCUUAUUCGGAGCCAAAGCUGUAACACCUGAAGAAAUAAAAAACAAAAGCUUAAGAGUCCUUAAGCAUGGGGAUGUGGACGAAAUUGCCAGAAGAGAGAAAGACAUGAUUGAGCUCGACAUCAACGAGGCCAUUGAGAACCUGGACAAAAACCAGGAAGAAACCCGAAGAUGGAGGGACCAACACAUUCGAGAAAGACAGAUCAAUGUUAGCGACCUCGUCAUCAACAGGAAAAAGAAUUGGGAAAACCCAGGCAAGCUACAAGAGACUUGGGAAGGCCCCUACAUUGUCACAAAAAGUGGCAGACCCGGCUCUUUCCACCUCGCAGACCAGCAAGGAAAUACUCUCCCACACACCUGGAACAUUGAUAGCCUACAAAAAUACUACCCAUAAUUGUACCUGCUACCUUCGGCUUGCGGAACUAUAAGCAACGCCGAAGGUAACAGAAUGGAUUUUCUUUAUUUUCUUUUCUUUACUUCCAAAUUUACCUCAUUUGUAAGGUCAUAGAGUCUAAACUGCACUCUUUUCCUUGAUAGGGGCUCCAUAAUGGAGGCAAGGUUUUUAACGAGGCAGAUCCAUAUACACCUUUUUUCACAAAGAAAGAAAGGAAACCUCCCCUAAAAAUACAAGUUGCGUAACCUCGCGCCAGUGUGCGGAGGAGAUCUCGCGUGUAAGAGGCAACAACAAGUUGCGUGACCUCGUGCCAGUGCGCGGAGGAGAUUUCACGUGUAAAAGCAACAACAAGUUGCGUAACCUCGCGCCAGUGCGCGAAGGAGAUUUCACGUGUAAAAGCAACAACAAGUUGCGUAACCUCGCGCCAGUGUGCGGAGGAGAUUUCACGUGUAAAAGCAACAACAAGUUGUGUAACCUCGCGUCACGGAGGAGAUCUCGCGUGUAAGAGCCAACAACAAGUUGCGUGACCUCGCGCCAGUGUGCGGAGGAGAUUUCACAUGUAAAAGCAACAACAAGUUGCGUGACCUCGCGCCAGUGUGCGGAGGAGAUCUCGCGUGUAAGAGGCAACAACAAGUUGCGUGACCUCGCGCCAGUGCGCGGAGGAGAUUUCACGUGUAAAAGCAACAACAAGUUGCGUAACCUCGCGCCAGUGCGCGGAGGAGAUUUCGCAAGUAAAAAGCAACAACAAGUUGCGUGACCUCGCGACAGUGUGCGGAGGAGAUUUCGCGUGUAAAAGGCAACAACAAGUUGCAUGACCUCGCGCUCGAGCAUGCAAAAGGCAACACCAAGUUGCGCAACCUCGCGCCAGAGCGCACAGGAAUCCUAACGUGUAGAUACAAUGACAUUGCAGAUCAAAGACACUGAAACCUCCAGCCACGAAUCUGUGUUACCUGACCUGUCUCUUGCAGCAUCGCAAGGGGGGGGGGGUGACGUUUUUCGAAAGAACGUGGAAAAUUUCUGCGACUUCGCAAGAGGAGGAUCUGCGAGUAUGAGUUAUCUAACCUCUCUCUUGCAACAUCGCAAGGGGGGGUGACGUUUUUCGAAAAAACAUGAAAUUUUUUUGCAACUUUGCAAGAGAAGAGUUUACAAAAUUUGUGUCACCUAACCUCGUAAAGGCCCGAAUAGCAUUCACGAUCUCACUCGGCAUGGCAAACGGUCAAAAAACGGCAUUGAACAUAAUCAAAGUUAAUUUCUUCACGACCAUCGACCAAGUUCAGCACAUCCAUUUCCAGAAGCAAUACACCAGACCAGCCUCACACGAGGUCAACCCAUGUAAAAUACAACAACAAAUACGGCUAUGGUUGAAGCGACUUUAGGUCGUUGUAUCAACCGGCUCUCGCACUUUCUAAGUCAGCGGGUUGCCUGACACGGCAACUCGGCUUUGACUUAUCUAACCUCGCAAUGGAUCCACUUCGCCAGAAAUCAGCAUGUUCGAACGGGAUAAAAAACACAACAGUUGCAAAAGUCGAAUACAUAAAAAAAACUGGCACAUAAGUACUUUACAGGGCAUAAUUUCACACACAAAUAAAAGUAUUUGACUUCGUCAACUUUAUACACCAAAGCCAAUGAGUCAAAGCCUACUCCGCAGCAUCCUUCUCAUCAUUACCAGCACCAAGCUGCAAGCGCAGCUACGCUAACCACUCACUCGCCAGCCUUUUCACAUAGUCUUGCCCGGAGGUUGACCACAUACGCUCAAACAAGUUCUUCUUCGCAUUCUCCACAUCAUUAGACUUCGUAGCGCAGCCAAUCUCCGAGGCAGCUGGCACAACGUAGUUGUCUUCAGAAAUAUUCUUAACAUGUUCGCAUCCUUGUUGCUCCAGCAAUUAAAGGGCGCUUUCUAGACAGAACACUGCGGAGUAAUCGUUCAAGCCCUCAAGGACCUCGGAAAGACUCUUGACCUCGUCCAAAAGCCAAUCAAACAUACGCUCGCAUCCCUCAUUCAAUGGGCAAUCAUCGGGUUCAGCGCCAAACACACCAAGGGAGGCCUUGUAAGCUUCAUGAACUUUUUUGAACCUCUCUCUUAGUGUAGUCUCUAUUUGGCUCAACAGCUUUGCCUUCGUUUCUAACUUAAGCUCCAUCUGGCUAACCUUGGAUUUCAAUCCCACGAUAACCUCGCUGUCGCGCUGGGCACCCUCGCGUAACCCUUCAAUAACUCGGUCCUUCUCCUUCAUCUGGCCCUCCAGCUCCGCUAUAUCCACCACCAGACAAUCAAUCUUGUCGCCCCUGGCCUCGUAGUUCUUGCCGAGUCUGCGAGAGUCCUCUUUCAACUCCGCAUUCUCAACCUUGACCUUCUUCAUCUCCAAGGACAUAGCAGCAAUAGUCGCCUCAAGUGAAGCCACCUUCUUCAAAAGUUCCGAGGCUGCCUUCUUGCUUUUAGCAAGCUGAUCCCUCGUAAUCAUUGAAGAAUAAGAUACCUGCAAGUUUUAAAUAAAGAACAAUAAGCCAAGUCACCAAAGACAUAACAAGGUAAAGGACAACACGCACCACACACAUCACCAAAUUACCCAGUAAUCAUACCUUCUUUACGAGGUUGGCCUCCAAGUUAAAGAGCUCUUCCGAGCUCAUUGACUUCACAGCUUGCUAAAAAUCUGUGCGUCAAAGAAUAUAGUUGUAAGUGUAAUACAACAACAACAAAGCUAGGAACAGCAAAACCACCUACAAGCAGCUCUCACCCUCAUAUUUUCGCGCCUCAACGGCGACUGGAACAACUUCACUAGCCUCGCCCUUAGAUGUCACCACAGCAGCCUCUCCUUUGCCUCCGACCUCCCUCGAAGUUGCCGUGCCCGCCUUCUCCCCCUUUUUUGAACCACCAAUAUCUGCAUAGCGCUCGCAAUCUUCACCCUCAUCCCCCCAGUCCAAAGAUAGGUUGUGUGGAUUAUAAACCCUACCUUCGGCGCACGUCGCUAGAACCUCUGUGCGCCCGCUCAAGCCCAGACCUUCGUUCAGCCCUUGAAGACCCGCCGACAAACUCUCACCUACAUCAGAACAUUUAAAUUUCAGCCUCACAUGAUCCUUGUUGGGAUACGAGGUAGGCUACACUAGCGCACAUCAAAAUUUUCUACCGCGUAAACCAGGAAAACUGUCGUAUAAGGAUCAGAGGAUUACCACUCGACGCACUGAUGCAGAAGAUGUAGAUUCGCGUUGAUGCAGCGAAGUCGAUCAGCGUAGUCGUACGUAGUCGAUCACAUCGACAUCCAGCAGCUCCUCAGCAGCUCGUCCACGUGCAGCAAGAUCAUCCUCGUGUUGGGUCAGUCCUAGCACAUGUCUCCACAUGUGCCCACAUUAUUAGUUCAACAUCUCCAUGUCCAUGACUUGUGAAACAUAGUCAUCAACUAAUACAUGUGCUAGUCUAAUAUUCAUGUGUGUCCUCACAUGAACUCCGACUAGGGACAACUUUAGAAUAACCAUACAAGUAAAGAGUUUCACAUACAAUUCACAUAAUUGCAAAUAAAUUCAAGCAGCCUUUAUUGGAUAUUCAAGGAACACAAUAUAAAUCAUGGAUACAAAUGGAAUAUCAUCAUCUCUAUGAUUGCCUCUAGGGCAUACCUCCAACAAUCCUCACAACUAACCUCACCAACACCUCCCAUAGUUGCUUCCACGUCCCUCAAAAAUCCCGCCGAAGCCUUCCCACAGUCAAUGAACCGCAGCUUCGGUAGAAACACCUCUACAUGCUUACCAGAUCUCACAGCUUCGGCGCAUGCACCCUUUGGAUAAGACAAAAACGCAUCCACAAGCUUUGCCUUUUCGGCAGCAACCCUCCUCUCAUGUUUCCCAGCUUCAAUCAAGAGAGACCACGUGCCCUUAGCCUUCGAGCUUGUAGAGGGCGCCGCAGUCUUGACACCAACCGCUGAAGGCGCGUCAACCUUGGCACCCGAAACAGUAACGCGAGCAAAACGAUGUUUAUUAGCUCCUUUCUUGGUCCGUGUAGCGGGCCUCGUGGACGAAGGUGCAAAAUCAGGGACCUCGUUUGGAGGGCGCACGGAGACAGGAACGACGUAUGUUGGUUUGCUCAAGUCGACAGACGAAGCUGUCGACCCCAAUGGCAACAUGGAAGAUGAAGCCCCCGCGGUACCCUCUUUCCUCUUUUGCGCCUCCAAGUUUAGGGUUUUUUGCUUCGCCUUGGAGGCCACUUGUGACUCAACAGUGAGCUUCGCCGCGAGCGCGAAAUCAAAUUUCACCUUCUUCCUAUGCUCAAGACCAGCACCCCGACGGCGCCUUUUGCCUACAACUUCAGGACGAGGCGGAACCACAAUAUCAAGCAAAUCAAAAAUCCGAUUGACACGAUGCCCGUGUCUCACAACGAAUUAAAAAGAAUGCCUUUCCGGCUGGGUCACGGGACCCAAAAUCUCGUAAGCCAUGUCCUCCACUGUCUAGACAAAUGAGUCCGAGUCAGCAUCCCUCUCAACGCUAGUUUCAAAACAGGGGUACUACACAGGCUUCUCGCUCCAAGACACCUUCUUCUCAACGAGCUUAAAUGGCUUCACAAAUUCAGCGGACAGAGGCCACACUCUAGCAGCAACAUACUCCUCUACGAGGUCACGUCCAGAUACCAAGGGCCCAGCAGCCCUGUAAGCAGCCUCGCACUUUGUCACAACUACCGUAUGAAUAAAUGACGGAGUUGUAAGCACGUCCAUCGGCCCAAACGGCGCAUAAAAUGGGAACCGAGUCCCAACCCCAGCCAUCUCAAUUUUAACAUAAAACCAAUGCGUCAGCCAUGCAUCAUCCCACUUGUUCCUCUGCGCGAAGGUAAGCUCUACCCUCCGCAGAUUCCUCUUAUCGUUCUUCUUGCGUGGCACGAAGGUACAGCAUCUGAAGUGAUUCUCACAAACACCUUUCCCAUCCUCGGAGUAAGUCCUCUUCUUCUGGAUAUGAAGUUCGUGCAACCUUGCAAAACCCUCCACAUCAAUACUGCAACACCGAAUGUGCGUUGCACCCAGUAAAACAUAGACAAAUUCACGAUGGCGUUGGGGUUAACUGGUGCAGCCUAACAUGAUAGCGAUCCAAUAUUACUGGCAGCUGCCUAUCGCAGGGAAACCGAAGCCCCGCAGUAAACAGGUCCCUGAACACAACAGCUUCACCAACCUCGGGCGUGGGUACCGCCUCAUUCCCAGGCGCUCUGCCCAGCCCCUUAGGAAAGAAGUUGUUCUCCUCGAAAGACGCAAUGUCUCGCAGAGUCACCUGGGAGUGCCUGAAGUAAAGAGUAGGAAUGCAUUGAACUUUCCCCCCAGCGGAUGUCUCUGACCUCGAUUCAACCUCGGCAUCCUCCUCCUCCUCCUCCUCAGCUUUGCCAGCCUCUUUCCCCCCUUUCUCCUCCUCCUCGUCCGAAGAUACAGCAUGAACUUCGGUCUCUGUUAUACCUUUUGCGGCAUGGCCCUGUUCACCUUCACCUUCGCCCCCAUCAGAAGACCACUCAGGCGAACUGCUGCUGGAAGAACCUUCCUCUGCAGAAACUAAACCAUCCUUCGUAUAAAUCCGUUUCUUUGACCUCUUCCCUUCAGCCUCCCCGCUACUCGCAGACAACGACUGUGAAGCAGGACUACCACCACCACCAGAGGCAGCCUGAAGGGCCAACUCUUCCGAAGAUAUUAUCUGCGCACUCUACCUGAUGCGGGCUGCCUGUCGCACCAAAAAAAGAACACCAUAACAUUGAGAAUGAAGCCAGAACGUUAAAACAAAGUCAAGAAAAACAACCACAACCAAGCAAACAGAAGCUACCCUCACCACCAAAAGCGAAGAUGCCACCCUGCCAAGAAAACGCAACGAAGACAUGCAACGAGGAUGCGUAGCGAAGGCGCAAGCAACAAAACGACAGCGUAAAGUAGGACCCGCCCCCCCGACAAACCUUAUAUAGGCAUGGUAAAAAAACGCCAAAAGACGCCUUUAUGGUGCCUCAAAUCACCAACCGCCGCAUGGAAAAUGACGCUAGUACCCCCGUCUAACGGUAAAUCGCCUCGGCCCGCACCGCCAUUCAGGAUUACGUUUUGAGGGCGUUUUUGGACUUUUCGCGGGAUCGGUCGACGACGUCUCUGACCUCACCCAUGAAGGGGCUACUGUUGGGGACUGCCCCACAACGCGCCCUGAACGAAGCUGGCGCGAACCUCUCCUCGACAACGACGCUGACCUCGUCAUUUUACUCUUUUACGAAGCUAACAAUUAACCGAAGCUAACUAGUACGAAGAUGCCCAUUCUGCGAUUUUGCAGGCGAAGGUUCCCAAAGUUGAAGCCCCCACGGAACCCCCGGUGACUUGACUUCGGGGAGGUCCUGUGACCAAAACCCGAGGUUAGCUGACUUUGACCAAUGAAGGCAGAAAGCAUACGGAAGCAUACUGAGUCCCGAUGAAGCUAACGAGUAGGGAAGGAAGGGAUCGAGAUAGCCCUAGGACCACAUUACUGUGGGUCAAUUUUGUAAUAAGAAUCUUGGGGAGGGUUAGAAAUGUAAUCCCACUUUGAAAGUGACAUCUUGAGUAGGGGUCAAGUUACUGUCUUGUACGGGAUAUGCCCAGGAUGUAGUUGUUGGGUAUGGGUAUAACGGGAAUGCAGAAAUGUAACUUUAUAGCCCUAUAAAGGCAGGUGAACCGUCCCCCCUAAAAUGGGCACUAUUCUUUGAUAGGAUAGCUACUGUUACGCUUGCUCGAGUUGUCAUUGUCUUCGUUCUUAUUUUACCUUGCCUACUGUUUGGAUGAGCCCCAACAUCCAACUUGACGUGAUUGGAGUUCCACAGGAGCAUCAUGCCGCCUUUCGAGCCACUGAGACCCCUGCUGGUUUGAACACAUACUCGUCCA
rnacentral:lncRNA from 1 species